rnacentral:rRNA from 1 species
GACGAACGCUGGCGGCGUGCUUAACACAUGCAAGUCGAACGGAAAGGCCCUGCUUUUGUGGGGUGCUCGAGUGGCGAACGGGUGAGUAACACGUGAGUAACCUGCCCUUGACUUUGGGAUAACUUCAGGAAACUGGGGCUAAUACCGGAUAGGAGCUCCUGCUGCAUGGUGGGGGUUGGAAAGUUUCGGCGGUUGGGGAUGGACUCGCGGCUUAUCAGCUUGUUGGUGGGGUAGUGGCUUACCAAGGCUUUGACGGGUAGCCGGCCUGAGAGGGUGACCGGCCACAUUGGGACUGAGAUACGGCCAAGACUCCUACGGGAGGCAGCAGGGGGGAAUAUUGCACAAUGGGCGGAAGCCUGAGGCAGCAACGCCGCGUGCGGGAUGACGGCCUUCGGGUUGUAAACCGCUUUCGCCUGUGACGAAGCGUGAGUGACGGUAAUGGGUAAAGAAGCACCGGCUAACUACGUG